UACGUAGGACCCAAGCGUUAUCCGGAGUGACUGGGCGUAAAGAGUUGCGUAGGUGGUUUGUUAAGCGAAUAGUGAAAUCUGACGGCUCAACCGUACAGACUAUUAUUCGAACUGGCAAACUCGAGAAUGGUAGAGGUAACUGGAAUUUCUGAAGUAGGGGUAAUAUCCGUAGAUAUCAGAAGGAACACCAAUGGCGUAGGCAGGUUACUGGACCAUUUCUGACACUGAGGCACGAAAGCGUGGGGAGCGAACCGG
rnacentral:rRNA from 1 species